UACAGAGGUCCCGAACGUUGUUCGGAUUCAUUGGGCGUAAAGGGUGCGUAGGCGGCGGGGCAAGUCUGAUGUGAAAUCCCGGGGCUCAACCCCGGAACUGCAUUGGAUACUGCCUUGCUCGAGUACUGGAGAGGGAACUGGAAUUUACGGUGUAGCAGUGAAAUGCGUAGAGAUCGUAAGGAAGGCCAGUGGCGAAGGCGAGUUCCUGGACAGUUACUGACGCUGAGGCACGAAGGCCAGGGGAGCAAACGGG
rnacentral:rRNA from 1 species